CGCUAGCGACAGGCUAACACAUGCAAGUCGAGGGCGAGCAUAAAAGUAGCAAUACUUGGUGGCGACCGGCGCACGGUGAGUAACGCGUAUGCAACCUACCUAUCAGAGGGGAAUAACCCGGCGAAAGUCGGACUAAUACCGCAUAAAACAGGGGCACCGCAUGGUGAUAUUUGUUAAAGAAAUUCGCUGAUAGAUGGGCAUGCGUUCCAUUAGGUAGUUGGUGAGGUAACGGCUCACCAAGCCGACGAUGGAUAGGGGAACUGAGAGGUUGGUCCCCCACACUGGUACUGAGACACGGACCAGACUCCUACGGGAGGCAGCAGUGAGGAAUAUUGGUCAAUGGGCGGGAGCCUGAACCAGCCAAGUCGCGUGAAGGAAGAAGGAUCUAUGGUUCGUAAACUUCUUUUGCAGGGGAAUAAAGUGCAGGACGUGUCCUGUUUUGUAUGUACCCUGAGAAUAAGGAUCGGCUAACUCCGUGCCAGCCGCCGC
rnacentral:rRNA from 1 species